GAUGAAGAACGUAGCGAAAUGCGAUAAGUAAUGUGAAUUGCAGAAUUCAGUGAAUCAUCGAAUCCUUGAACGCACAUUGCGCCCCGUGGUAUUCCGCGGGGCAUGCCUGUUCGAGCGUCAUUACACCACUCAAGCCUCGCUUGGUAUUGGGCGACGCGGUACGUCUGCGCGCCUCAAAUCUUCCGGCUGGUUCGAAUCGUCCCUCAGCGUUGUGGAAACUAUUCGCUAAAGGUGCGCGUUUCGGUCACGCCGUUAAACAAGCCAAUUUCAUUAAAGGUUGACCUCGGAUCAGGUAGGGAUACCCGCUGAACUUAAGCAUAUCAAUAAGCGGAGGA
rnacentral:misc_RNA from 1 species